rnacentral:rRNA from 1 species
GACAGAGGGUGCAAACGUUGUUCGGAAUUACUGGGCGUAAAGCGAGUGUAGGCGGUCUGAAAAGUCAGGUGUGAAAGCCCUGGGCUCAACCCAGGAAGUGCACUUGAAACUGCCAGGCUAGAGUGUCGGAGAGGUUGGUGGAAUUCUCGGUGUAGAGGUGAAAUUCGUAGAUAUCGGGAGGAACACCGGUGGCGAAGGCGGUUCUCUGGGCCUUACCUGACGCUGAGGAGCGAAAGCGUGGGGAGCGAACAGG